GGGCGGCAGCGGGCGGUCUGAUCCUCGCCUCCGGCAAGAGGGGAGACCGCGCGUCCCCCUGUCGCAUUGUGCCGCUGCCGCUCGCGGGAUGCGGACGAGUCUGUAGAGUGUGUUGUGCCGUCUGCCGUCUCCUCUUCGGGGCAUGAACGCAGGAUGCGAGGCUCGACAGGCGACGGGCGACUCAACCGCUCAAGAUGUGUAGAAUGUGGAUGGCGGAGGAGCGGCGGCCGAGGACGUGUGACGUGAUAAUAUCUGAAGCGUGGCUGACUCGAAAAAGUGUAGACUUAUCUUCAUGUAUGUAAAUAUGUUUUUCGGAAGUCCUCGGCUUAUAUUUCUCGGAGCCUCAGCUGCAACUGCGAAUGCCUAGAGCUCCAUAUAUGUAUACCCGGUCGCCUGUGGUUGGCGGCUGCUCCAUUCCUGGCAAUGAAAAAUGGCUAAAUGUGCUUGUUUUAAGUAAAAGUAAAAAAAUAUAGCACCAGAGACCGUA